AACGAACGCUGGCGGCAUGCCUAACACAUGCAAGUCGAACGAAGUCUUCGGACUUAGUGGCGCACGGGUGCGUAACGCGUGGGAAUCUGCCCUUGGGUACGGAAUAACUCAGAGAAAUUUGUGCUAAUACCGUAUAAUGUCUUCGGACCAAAGAUUUAUCGCCCAAGGAUGAGCCCGCGUAAGAUUAGCUAGUUGGUGGGGUAAAAGCCUACCAAGGCGACGAUCUUUAGCUGGUCUGAGAGGAUGAUCAGCCACACUGGGACUGAGACACGGCCCAGACUCCUACGGGAGGCAGCAGUGGGGAAUAUUGGACAAUGGGCGAAAGCCUGAUCCAGCAAUGCCGCGUGAGUGAUGAAGGCCUUAGGGUUGUAAAGCUCUUUUACCAGGGAUGAUAAUGACAGUACCUGGAGAAUAAGCUCCGGCUAACUCCGUGCCAGCAGCCGCAGUAAGAC
rnacentral:rRNA from 1 species